rnacentral:rRNA from 1 species
UACGGAGGGGGCAAGCGUUGUCCGGACUUACUGGGCGUAAAGGGUGCGUAGGCGGUCUUGUGCGUCGGUGCUGAAAGCGCCCGGCUUAACCGGGCGAGGCGUGCCGAUACGACGAGACUUGAGGGGCAGUGAGGGUGGCGGAACUCCUGGUGUAGUGGUGAAAUGCGUAGAGAUCGGGAGGAAGGCCGGUGGCGAAGGCGGCGCUCUGGAACAUUUCUGACGCUGAGGCUCGAAAGCGUGGGGAGCAAACAGG